GGGCAGCAGUAGGGAAUUUUCCACAAUGGGCGAAAGCCUGAUGGAGCAACACAGCGUGUAGGAUGAAGGCCUUCGGGUUGUAAACUACUGUUAUAUGGGAAGAAAAACUAGUAUAGGAAAUGAUAUUAGCUUGACGGUACCAUGUCAGAAAGCAACGGCUAACUAUGUGCCAGCAGCCGCGGUAAUACAUAGGUUGCAAGCGUUAUCCGGAAUUAUUGGGCGUAAAGCGUCUGUAGGUUGUUUGUUAAGUCUGGUGUUAAAACUUGGAGCUCAACUCCAAAUUGCAUUGGAUACUGGCAGACUAGAAUUGUUUAGAGGUUAGCGGAAUUCCUUGUGAAGCGGUGGAAUGCGUAGAUAUAAGGAAGAACACCAACAUGGCGAAGGCAGCUAACUGGGAACAUAUUGACACUGAGAGACGAAAGCGUGGGGAGCAAACAGGAUUAGAUACCCUGGUAGUCCACGCUGUAAACGAUGAUGACUAGUUGAUGGAAACCAUCGACGCAGCUAACGCAUUAAGUCAUCCGCCUGAGUAGUAUGCUCGCAAGAGUGAAACUUAAAGGAAUUGACGGGGAUCCGCACAAGCGGUGGAGCAUGUGGUUUAAUUUGAGGAUACGCGUAGAACCUUACCCACUCUUGACAUCUUCUGCAAAGCUAUAGAGAUAUAGUGGAGGUUAACAGAAUGACAGAUGGUGCAUGGUUGUCGUCAGC
rnacentral:rRNA from 2 species